GGGCCCGUAGCUCAAGGGCAGAGCGUCCGGCUCAUAACCGGUUGGUUCCAGGUUCGAAUCCUGGCGGGCCCACCA
rnacentral:tRNA from 1 species